AUGCUUGCUUCAACAGCACAUAUGCUAAAAUUGCAAUGAUACGGAGAUCAGCAUGGCCCCUGUGCAAGAGUGACAUGCAUAUUUGUGAUGUGUUCCAUGUUUUU
ensembl:snRNA U6 U6 spliceosomal RNA